GGUCCAUUAGUGUAGCGGUUAUCACCCUGGUCUUUGAAUCCAGAAACCUGAGUUCGAAUCUCAGAUGGACCU